rfam:Ciona savignyi cont_54016, whole genome shotgun sequence.
GUCUCUGUGGCGCAAUUGGUUAGCGCGUUCGGCUGUUAACCGAAAGGUUGCUGGUUCAAGCCCAGCCGGGGACG